GAGUUUGAGACCAGCCUGGGCAACAGGGCAAAACCCCAUCUCUACAAAACUGCACCCAGCCAUUUUGUACUAUUUUUAUCUUGUUGCUUUUUUCUUUUUCUUUUUCUUUCUUUUUUCUUUUUUUUUUUUUUUUAGUGGUUUCAGACAGUGGUUCAGACCAGCUGCUAGAGAAUCAUGGGCUAAGAAGAGAAGACUACCAAUUUAGUAGAUUUGGACAUGGACAAGCCACAGGCAGUUUCUCUUCUCACUCUCUUGGCCAGUCAUCUCUUGCUCACCUUCCCCUGCCAGUAGCCAGUAGCAUGUGACAGCCUCUAUAUUCCAUCUCCCUUUUCUCCCUCUUCCAGAACUAAGAUGAGUUUUCAAUGGAUAACUGUACAGAAACAUACCCACUGCUGAGUUUAUAAUAAAUAGGUAAAUGGUGUUUAAAAUGCCUUCUGUAGGAAUCCUUGGUAGAUAGUUAUAUGUGGUUAUUUUUUGGGAAGUUGGCUUGAGGUUCUUUGAAGGGCUGGGAACGUGUAUUUCUUUUGCGUGUGCCUGUGUGUGUCAAAAUUUUAUAUGUUCAUCAGUGCUCUACACGUUCAGAGAAACGUUUCCAAUAACGAACCAUAGAAUGAUCCCUGGAGCAUAGGAUCCCACUGUUUGAAAAUUCUAGCCAUUGAUCACUUUAUAAGAAAAGGAUGAAAUUUCAAACAAGGGGUUUGUUUAUCUGAUUUCCACCCUACAGAUAAUAUAUAAAUUUGGCCAAAGUUGUUUGGGGGAGAGGGGCUGUUGUUAGGUACUGAGCUAUAAUACUUUGUUGCUUUGUAUCACUUUUAAAAGUGACUUUUAAAGAUACUUGACAUUUGAAAAGGAAUCACCUUUGAUCUUUUUAAGUCCCUAAUUUGACAUUACCUUUAUAGCAUAUAAUUUAUUCCAUAAAGUCUUAGAUCCUGAAACUAGCGGAAAGCCAAAUACUCAUGUUGUGCUAUAAAUAUAGGAUUGACAGUUAAGCUUACUCAGUAGUCAAGGGGGCGGCUUUCACUGACCAGCCUCCAGGGCAUAUGAACCAAAUUUAUGAUUCAGAACAUUUAAAAUAUACAUUUUGAAGAUCUUUGGGCUCUCUUAAGUAUAGUCUAACUAUAAUAAAUAUUAAACAUGUCAAAGGUCUCUUGCAGUGUUGGGAAGAGCAUUCUAAACCACAUACAUCUUUCCCAUCCCCAGAUUGUUCUGUGUCCCCUCCCACUCUUCCCAGAUUAGAAGUCACCAUGGAGCACUAUUAGUAAUGGGACUCUGUAUCAGAUCUUUAAGGUGUAUUGGGACAGAAGAAAGGUUGAUAUUUUGGGGUUGUUGUUUUUUUUUUGAGACAGAGUUUUCACUCUUGUUGCCCAGGCUGGAGUGCUAUGGCGCGAUCUUGGCUCACUACAAUCUCCGCCUCCCUGGUUCAAGCAAUUCUCCUGCCUCAGCCUCCUGAGUAGCUGGGAUUACAUGCGCCCACCACCAUGCCCGGCUAAUUUUUGUAUUUUUAGUAGAGACGGGGUUUCAUCAUGUUGGCUAGGCUGGUCUCGAACUCCUGACCUCAGGUGAUCUGCCUGUCUUGGCCUCCCAAAGUGUUGGGAUUACAGGUGUGAGCCACCAUGCCCAGCAGGUUCAUAUUUUUAAUGUUUCCUUCUACUCCCCAAGCACACACAAAUUUGAAAGCUGCUUUGCUUUCUAAUAAAGAGGCUUUUCCUUUGAUUUUGGAAGAUAAUUUGAUGUCUCUUUUCUCUUUGCAGGUAUAUGAGCUCCCUGAAAGCACAAAGCAGUUAUUUCCAUCUUCAGAUCAUUCAGAGAUUAUGAAGGCACAAACCCUGCCUUCAAUUUGCUUAUAGUCAAGUGGAGCAGACACAAGUAAAUGAUUGCAGUAUAGCCACUUAAGUAAUCUAAAAGAGGUGAGUGUGGCACUUAACCUCUCCUGGGAGGGGGAGGAAUAAGGCAGUGUUUCCAAGAGGUGAUUUUGGAGCUAUACAGGCAUUAGGUAGACAAGGAAGGGGAGGUCCAUUCUGGGUGCCUAGGCCUCUGUGGCUGAUUUAUAAAUCGUAAAUGGUACAAAAAACAGUGUUGAGUAUCUUUUACCUUUCUCUAGAGUACUGUUCUUACUUUUGGAUAGUGCUUCUUGUUUUUUCCUUCCCUCUCCCUGUCCCUGUCACCUUUAAAUUAAAUGAAUGUUUGGAAGGAAGUAGGAGGGUAAGAAUCUUUCUGGGUGGCAGAAUAAUAGAUGGGUCUACCAAGAGCGAUGUAUAUACCCAGUAAAGCCAUCUCUAAAACUGUGUUUCUGCAUUGUUACAGUGCAUAGUUGGGAAAUCUCAGUUUUGUUGGCUGUGUACUUUCCCAGUGAAUGGAUUAUAUUCCUUUCUGAGAUCCAGUCUGUUUGAAUUCAAGGGCAUCUCUUAAAUUCCUUUCAAGCAAGAGACCUAACAUUUAUACUUAGGAAUGAGAGUAGUAGAGACAGCAAGAUUAGAAUCCAAGUUCAUAUACCAAAACAUUUUUAUUUGCUAUGUCUGAGUGACUACAUGUUGUUUGAAUCAGCUGCAGGCUAAUUUGUAACAUUUCAAAUAAAUGAUAGUUUAAUUCCUCCAGGAUUUGAGUAAGGUGAAAAUAGAGCUAAAAACCAUGAUUCUGUCACAGUCUGGGAAAAUGAAAAAGCAAUCAAUUAGUGAGUUGGGCUUAAUUUUUUUUUUUUUUUUUCUGGAACUGGUGAUAGCAGAAAACAAGCAGUAAAGUAGUCAGGCAUGAUAUACUUGACAAGAACCACCACCUGUUCGGUAGCAACUCUAAAAUAAGUACUAACUUAGGGGCAGUUGUUGUGCCCAGGUCAUAGUCAUACUCCUUCCAGGGGACUUCCUGAUGACAGAAAAGAUGCUGACCAGCUGGGGUCUUCUUUCCAAAUAACAAACUUUUCUCUUGCAUUUAGAUUAAUUAACCAUUGGUUACAGUGAAACAAGCAUAUGUACAGAGUUAAUCUCCUAUAGCUUGAAGUUAUACAUGAUCUUUAUUUGAGUAUCUUGACUUGUUAAAGGACAGUGUUUUAAAAGCUGGAUUUGGUUAUGUUCUUCUGGAGACUAAGAAAAUAGAGUCCUUGAAAUCAAGCUGACUCUGCUUUUAGCCUCCUAAAUGAAAAGGUAGAUAGAACAGGUCUUGUUUGCAAAAUAAAUUCAAGACCUACUUAUCUACCAACAGCAAUUACACGCUUUCCAUCGUCUUUCUAUAGAAAAUAGGAGUAGUACACUUAUAGAUGAGAAAACUGGAGAAAGACAUAGUGAACAUGUGAGAAUCUUGCUCUACUAAUUGAUAGGAAGGUGACUAGAAAUUGGCGAAGUUGUCUUGGUAAGUUGAGGAGAGGACUUUUCUUAUAGUGCAGUCUGGUAGCUGAACCUCCCUGCAUCAAGACCAAUGUAGUCUUAUUUACAGAAUGCCACAUCACAGUGAAUUGUGCUGUGGACAGCUUCCAGUGUGUGAGUUGUGGAAGAUGAUGAUUUUAACAGAUUUUGGAGGAUGAGAAGUAUUAAGAAGAAGGCCCCACUGCCCAUGCAUUUGCUCUGCUUUUUACUUUUGACCAAGUAUACACUUCAGAAAUAUCUUAUUGGAAGUAUACAAAGUGAUUGUGUGUCAUUUGAACCAGCAGGAAGUAAUUUAUUAAACACACUUUUCUAAAUAAAAGUCAUUUAAUUUUAUCAGAAAUCAGUGUCAUUUUAGAUUGCAAGUCUCAAACCAACUUUCCAAUUCUGACUUGUAAGGGUGUCUUAAAUCCUGAAUACUGUACUCUGUAUUACUAAACCCAUGUUAGUUUACGCCAAGAUUCUGUGGUGGUUUUACAUAUUCUUUUUCCCCUUUGUUAAGGUGGGGAGGCCACAGCUUGUAUGAAUGACUUUCUCAGGAGUUAUAAAGUGAUACAGGUAAAGCUAAGAAAAGAACAGAUUUUGAUAACUUUUGUUUUAACUGUCCAGUGUUAGGGAUUGUGGCUACAGUGGUCUAAUUUUUAAAAACUCUUUUUUUUGCUUUGUUUUUUAACAGACUUAUCAGCAGGUUGCAGGUGAACAUGGCCUUGAGGUAAAUCUGUCCCUUGCUGAAUACAGUUUCAGUAGAUUGUUUAUAGUAGUUUCAGGAAUUGAGAUUUUUUACAAAAAUACAAAAGUUUUGCUUGGUUCUGUUCUAGAUGUUUUCUUCUAAAUAAAUGAGAAAGAUGUUUCAACAAAGGCUCUUUAUGCUGAAUAAUUGUGAUGCUUGAAGUUGCUAAUCUGCUUUAAGUGGAUUUUAAAUGUCAGGCAAUUCUAGACAGUUUUUUCUUGGUCAAAUAAAAAUUUAAUUAAAACUUUAUA
rnacentral:sRNA from 1 species